UUUAUUGUUUUUGUAUUUGUAUUUGUAUUUGUAUCUUUAUUUCAAAAAUAUACAUAAGGGCAAGCCUUUUAUCGUAUACAGAGACAUCAUUUAGUUCGAAUAUGAUAAAACUACAAACAAAAAAAAAACUUAAAACUAACUAAAAAUUAGGUUAGAGUACAUGAAAUGAUCAUUGUAUAAACAAAGAGAAAUAACUUAACCUAAAAACAAAUGAAAAUGACUUCAACAAGAAGAAUUUAGACGAUGAGGCAAAGCGUUCCACAGGCGUGCGCCACGGACUACGAAUGAAUUCCCCAGAUAAUUAGUAUGAUGAGUUGGAAUUAGAAUGUUAUGUGUACGUUGUGAUCUACUAAAGGAAAAUUCUUCAUAUAGAUAAGUUGGCUCUUUGAAUUUAAUAAGUUUAAACAAAAAAACAAGAAGCUGCAAAUGAAAAUAUUUUUGUAAAGGUAUGCCAAGAAUUGACGACUGAUAUUGAGAAACAUGGUCAUAUCUGCGUAAAUUGUAAAUGAAUCUAAUACAACUAUUGAAACAAACUUUUAAAUGACGUUCAGUUUCUGCUGACAAAUGAGAGAAAAUUACAUUACCGUAAAUAAAGUGAGGUAAAAGAAGAGUUUUUACUAGUUUUGUUUUAGUAUCAAUUGAUAAAGUGUUUCUAUGUUGGUUUAAAAUUCGUAAAGUUGUAUAAACCUUCCUAAUAAUAAAAGAUACAUGAUCGUUCCAGGUUAGGUGUUUGUUCAUAACUAUUCCAAGAUUGUUUACUUUAUCAACUAUUUCAAUUAUAUCGUUGUCUAUUGUAAUGGGCGGUAAUACAGGUAGAUCAGAAUUAGGACGAGUAAAAAUUAUGGCUUUUGUUUUAGAUGCGUUAAGUACUAGACCAUUAUUGCGACAAAAAUUUAAAAUGGAUAAAAGAUCAGCGUUCAGCAAAGAAAUAUAGUGAGGAAGUUCUGAAAUAGGACAAGAUAAAUAAACUUGGGUGUCAUCG